rnacentral:rRNA from 1 species
YCUGGCGGCASUAGCGCGGUGGUCCCACCUGACCCCAUGCCGAACUCAGAAGUGAAACGCCGUAGCGCCGAUGGUAGUGUGGGGUCUCCCCAUGCGAGAGUAGGGAACUGCCAGAC